rnacentral:rRNA from 1 species
GACGAACGCUGGCGGCGUGCUUAACACAUGCAAGUCGAACGGUGAAGCGCCUUCCUUUUUGGUUGGUGUGGAUGAGUGGCGAACGGGUGAGUAACACGUGAGUAACCUGCCCCCUUCUUCUGGAUAACCGCAUGAAAGUGUGGCUAAUACGGGAUAUUCUGGGUCUGUCGCAUGAUGGGUCUGGGAAAGAUAUUGUUUCGGUGGGGGAUGGGCUCGCGGCCUAUCAGCUUGUUGGUGGGGUGAUGGCCUACCAAGGCGGUGACGGGUAGCCGGCCUGGGAGGGUGGACGGUCACACUGGGACUGAGACACGGCCCAGACUCCUACGGGAGGCAGCAGUGGGGAAUAUUGCACAAUGGGCGAAAGCCUGAUGCAGCGACGCCGCGUGAGGGAUGGAGGCCUGCGGGUUGUGAACCUCUUUCGCCAGUGAAGCAGGCCUGCCUCGUUUGUGGGUGGGUUGACGGUAGCUGGAUAAGAAGCGCCGGCUAACUACGUG